rnacentral:rRNA from 1 species
UACGUAGGGUGCGAGCGUUAGUCGGAAUUACUGGGCGUAAAGUGUGCGCAGGCGGCCGCGCAAGUCGAGUGUGAAAGCCCCGGGCUUAACUUGGGAAUUGCGCUCGAAACUACGUGGCUGGAGUGUGGCAGAGGAAGGUGGAAUUCCAGGUGUAGCGGUGAAAUGCGUAGAUAUGCGGAGGAACACCGAUGGCGAAGGCAAUCCCCUGGACCUGUACUGACGCUCAUGCACGAAAGCGUGGGGAGCAAACAGG